rnacentral:tRNA from 1 species
UUAAUUGAAGCCAAAAAACAAGAGGCAUAUCACUGUUAAUGAUACCAUUGGGGUCUCCCCCAAUUAAA